rnacentral:rRNA from 1 species
UACGGGGGGGGCAAGCGUUGUUCGGAAUUACUGGGCGUAAAGGGCUCGUAGGCGGCCAACUAAGUCGGACGUGAAAUCCCUCGGCUUAACCGGGGAACUGCGUCUGAUACUGGAUGGCUUGAAUCCGGGAGAGGGAUGCGGAAUUCCAGGUGUAGCGGUGAAAUGCGUAGAUAUCUGGAGGAACACCGGUGGCGAAGGCGGCAUCCUGGACCGGCAUUGACGCUGAGGAGCGAAAGCCAGGGGAGCAAACAGG